ACGGAGCGCUGGGAAGCGGCCUCAGCUCGCUUGGGGAGGAGGUGGCUGUGGGCAGGUGGUCGCCGGCCUCGAGCGGUCGGGCCUGGCUUCUCCGCUACGGGCUGUUGUUCCCUACAUGGCUGGGCGAGUGGACGAGACCGGGACGCCACCCCACACGCAGCGGUGUUCCUUCCCCAGUGUCCGCGUAGAAUUACCGUCUUGGGGUUCCGGGAGGCGACCUGGAAGACCAAGAACUUAUCAUCAUACUCCACCUGCAACACCUACAGAUUUGGGUGAAUUCCUCUCUUCCCGAGGUCCCCAAAAUAUCCUGGGGUUCCUGCACCUGCCAGGGAAGUGACCUUCCUUAUUAACCAGAAUCCUGUAAUCAGCACCAUGUGAAUGAGCCAGGGCUGGCCUGCUGGAGGACGGACAUCACACGCCCAGCUAAUACCACUGACCAUCCUGACAGCCAGCCAUCUACCAAACACGUGAGGCCAAAAAUUGCCAGCUAACCACAAAGUCAAUGAACCCAAGUGAUACCACACGGAGCAGAGAUGAACCAUCUCGGCUGCUCCCAGCCUGAAUGUCAUAAUUUAGGGCAAGUCACAUAAUUAUGAGAAAAUCAAUGGAUGUUGUUUAUGCCA